GACUAUGGUUAACUGCUCCUCAGAUAUCUGCAGUGUAAAUCCAGACAGCGAGCUAGACUAUCUGAGUUUUAUGUUUCACGACUAAAACAU